ensembl:lncRNA
CGGGAUGGGAGUCUAUGUCUAGACGUUCAAAUGAUGGAAGAAGUGCAUGUGUAGGUGGACUUAUAGAACUAUGUAAAUAUCUCUGAGAUUUGGGAUAUUGAGGACUCCUUUUUCUGGUCCCUGCUUACAGCUUGACACAACAUCAGCUCUAGUAGGCAGGGCUUGUGAAGGUGUAGAAGCUAUGGCCAGCCUUCAGCCUUAUAUUUCCUCUUGGCAGCAGCUGCUCACCUGUAGGAUCUGGAGCACAUGUUUGGGCAGGAGAAAGGUUUGGGAGAGCCAAACUUUUGGAUGGUCUCUUGAUGGAAUGGUUGUUUUAAGGGCAGAUGGUAUGGGAGCACACAUGGUUAUGGCUCAGCAUGGCCACUGUGAAGCUGCAGGAUGUCAGGCUAAGCACAUGCUGCUGCUGCUUAGAAAAGGUGAGCUGCCCUGCAGCUACUCUUGCUUGCUUCUUAGAAGGUAUCUAGGAUUGUCUUGACUGUGUAGCCCAGUGCCAUGUCAUGUAGGGAUGCCUGGGUUAGCUCAAGAAGACUUUGCCUUACUGCUGAAAACAGUUUUUUUAGUUUAAUAUUAUGCUUAUGCCAAAGUAUGAUGCUUCUCAUCACAUGAAAUGCUUCCAGAAAACCUACACUGAAAAAAGUUUUUAAACAUUACCUCCUGUGCAAUGGCCAGAAACAUGUCUACUGCACACCCCCAAAGCAAAUGUCCCAUGAAGGCUAGGAAAGCAGCAGUCCACCAUCCCUGAGUGUUAUGGCAUUUGCACAGGGAGGAUAUAUCAAAUGCAUCCCUGAGUAUUCAGGUCUGUGUUGUACCCUCCUGGUAUUGCUUUCUGUGAGGGGCUGCAAGAUGUUUGUUGUAUGAAGGAGAGAAAAGCAAGUGACUGUGACAGUUUGCUUACUUCUGUUGCUUGAUGCCAAAUAAAUGACCUUUAUGAAUAGUGAGUACUGAGUAU